CAGCAGCCGCGGUAAUACGUAGGUGGCAAGCGUUGUCCGGAAUUAUUGGGCGUAAAGCGCGCGCAGGCGGUCUUUUAAGUCUGAUGUGAAAGCCCACGGCUCAACCGUGGAGGGUCAUUGGAAACUGGAGGACUUGAGUGCAGAAGAGGAGAGUGGAAUUCCACGUGUAGCGGUGAAAUGCGUAGAUAUGUGGAGGAACACCAGUGGCGAAGGCGGCUCUCUGGUCUGUAACUGACGCUGAGGCGCGAAAGCGUGGGGAGCAAACAGGAUUAGAUACCCCAGUAGUCCAUGUCUCUUAUAA
rnacentral:rRNA from 1 species